AGAUGUUGCCUUGCUCCCGGGGCAGCUGUGAGUGUGUGAAGUCCUCAUCAGCGACGUGGACACUGCCCAAAUGAUCAACACUUUUUGCACUCCACAUCCCCACUUUGAGCUUACUUGUUUGGUAGCCAACUUUCUAAGAACUGAUGGUCACAUACAUCGAAUUGCCUUCAGAACAUUUUUCUGAUGCAUGGCUUGGUAGAAUACAGACGGCCACAAAUUCUUUGCCACUCUUCUACUUAAAGAGAUGGAGUCUAUUUUCCUCCCCUUGUAUCUGGGCUGCCCUCAUAACUUAUUUUGUCAACGGAAUGAGGUAGAAAUGAUGCCGUAUAACUUCUGAGGCUGGGCCUUAAGCAAUCUGCAGCCUUAUGUGCUGGGAACACUCCCUCUUGGAAGCUAGCCAUCACGCUGGAAGAAGACCAAGCUAUGAGGAGAGGCCACAUGGAUGAGAGUUUAUGCUAAUGCACUAUGUCAACAAUCCCAGCUGAUUUUCCUUCCAACAGCCCGUACCAACUGCCAGCCAUGUAAGUGAGCCAUCUUGGGCAUUCCAGCCUAGCUGAAUUUCCAGAUAACUGCAACCCCAAAUGACAUCACCUACAACAGAACUUCCUAGCUAAGCUCCGUCACCCACAGAAUUUUGAGAACAGGUCAAUAAUGGUUAUUGUUGUAAGCUACUAUGUUCAGGGUAGUUUGUGAAUAGCAAUUAAUAACCGACAGCACAUAGUAGGUCCAUCAUAUGGAUGUACUCUAAUUUAUAGAAUCCAACCUCUGUUGAUGGACAUUCUGGUUGUUUUUUCUUCUGCUCGUCUUUUGUUAUUACAGAUAAUCCUGCAAUUAAUUAUAACGUAUGAUGUCAUUUUGCUUGCGUGAGCGUAUCUGUGGGAUGAGUUCUUAAAAGUAGAAUUGCUCGAUACAAGAGGAUAUGCAUUUAUCAUUUUGAUAGCUAUUGCAAAAUUGUCAUCCUCGGACACUUCACUAAUUUACACUUCUAUCAAUGAUAUAUGAAAGUCACUGCUCUCCCACACCCUCAGUAAUAUUGUGUGUUAUCCGACUUUUUGAUUUUUGUUAACUCUAAUAGGCAGAAAGAUAGAAUUUCAAUCUGUAGCUCCAUUUUUAUAAAUGAAGGUACUGUAAUACAGUUUAGAGCCACUUGUAUUUUCUCUUAAGUGACCAGUCCCUGUCCCUUGCUCAGAUUCUAUAGGGGUAUUGGUUUUUCAAAUAGUUUAUAAAAACUCUUAAGGGAAUUUAACCAUGUAUUUUUUAUUUUAAAUUUUAUU